AUCUGGGAUUUUGUUUUUAUUUUG
rnacentral:piRNA from 1 species